UACAGAGGUCUCAAGCGUUGUUCGGAUUCAUUGGGCGUAAAGGGUGCGUAGGUGGUGCUGUAAGUCAGGUGUGAAAUCUCGGGGCUCAACCCCGAAACUGCACUUGAUACUGCGGUGCUCGAGGACUGGAGAGGAGAUCGGAAUUCAUGGUGUAGCAGUGAAAUGCGUAGAUAUCAUGAGGAAGACCAGUGGCGAAGGCGGGUCUCUGGACAGUUCCUGACGCUGAGGCACGAAGGCCAGGGGAGCAAACGGG
rnacentral:rRNA from 1 species